UUUCGAUCGCACCUCGUAUAGCAAUGUUUCUGUUUCACAUGCUCAACAGAAUGUUCUUAGAGUACCAUCACAUUUGUGCCUAGGGGUUAGUGAGCGAAGACUGUUGGUUGACCUUCUUCUGUUUGCAGUUAGUUCAGAAUCCCAACGCUGAUGCCAUCGUAGUGAAACGUUCCUAAUUGCAUCCUUUAUCUAUCCACUUAGCGUAUUUUCCGUGUGUCGUCUUACGUUAUUUAAAAUUUAACGUGAGGUCGACGCCAAACUGCUUAAUGACUUACUGACAAGAUUAUUUUAAGACUAAUUAACAGCUAUAUAUUUUCCUGUGCUUAUAACGACAAGCGGACAGGGCAAGGAACUUAAUUUGUAUGUCGAGUGCACUCAAGUCGUCGUUUAUAUGGUGUCUUCCAAGUGUCAGACGUGCUUUUAGUACACCGCAGAAUUACAAUUUGGCAGUAUGAGACGAAGUUUAUGUCUACAUACAAAUAAGGAUUAAAAUACGUAUUGUAUACAGAACUUAAUAGGAACUUUAAUAGGAGAAUAUAGAUCGAAGGUAAACUUAUUAUGAACUGUUUACUGAAGAAAUUGGCUAUUUGGACUUAAGUAUCCGGAGGAUGGAGAAAAUUUAUUUGUGAGAAGCUUUGUAACUUCUGUUCUUCACCAGAUGUACCAGUGCCGGCCCCUCAUUCAACGUGACUUUAGAACACUAGGCAGGAGCUACAGAAUUUCAUAAUAUUUCACAAGAUUUGCCUACUUCAUUAGGUGUAAAAUUUAUUUCGAUUAAAAUACGAGAGACUGGCCUGGAAUAUAAUUCUACCGGGCCCUUUCCUGAGCUACGUAAUCUCAAUCAACGUUCAUAGUCUGUGCUGCUUCAAGAUCAAUUUAAAUAUGAAACUCUUAUCUACAAUUAGAUCUUCCAAACGUUCUCAUUCUUUUGGGUUUGUUAACUGAAUUCUUUUGUGCAUUUGUGAUUCCCUCCGUGCGAGCUACUAUUUUUUUUAAUGACGAGUAUAAAUGUAUUAGGAAUAAAUCUAAAAAAUAUAAGUUGAAUAAAUAUAUCUCUUUAUGCCCAUCCACAAGCUUAUAAAGUUGACGGCUGUUCAGGAUUUUUGGCGAAAUAAUCGGAGUUUAAAAUAUUGAUUCAAAUUGUCGUGUUUGUAAGUUGGUAAGUACUAAAUGCAUUGUACAUGUGAUAGCGUGCUGAGAAUAUUAUUCAUUUCAUGUAAGAAUCUUUGUGAGAUUUGGUGGUCAGUCGGCGUGACUGCCACGUUCUUAUCAAAUGAAUAAUGUCCCUGUCCAGCUACUGCGUGGAACCUAAACCUGUCCUUGACCUUCCGUCGAAAAGCGACCUCUCGCUCAAACUACCUUAUGAUUUUCAGUCGGCUUACAUUAUAAAUCAGGUCAACUCUUGAUCUACUCUCAAAUGAAAAUUCAUGUAAUUUCUGAAACGAAACUUAUAAUUCAUUGCGUUCUGCUCAAAUAUAUUCGGCCUACCUUUCUUUAGUUAAUUCUGUCUUCCUAAAGGAACUGACGUAUUACCUUAAACAGGAAUAAAAAUAUUUGAAGCAUAUCCAUACAUAUUCUCCAAAUGCGAUUUUAACAAUAUUAAAAAGUGUAUUAUACCUGUAUUUAUUUAGUACUGGCAUGAAUAUAUUUUCACUCUUGCAAGUUCUCAUUCCUACUGAACUAUUCAAUGUGGGAAAUCAUUUAUAUUGACCAACAAAUAUUGUACUCAAAACCACCCCGAGAUUCUGUGCAUUAAAUUGACGAUGGAACUGGAUUCAGAUUUUGCCAGUGACUGAGAUGUAAAAUUAAGUUUUGCGAAGUUAUUUAUAUGGCACAGCAAAAUGUUAUUGCAUUUCUAUCUAUGUAUACAUCAUUGGUGUUAAUCUUCAAUUAUUUGUUAUGUAUUUUCACACUCAGAUGAACAUUUAAGCAGAAAAAUAUAGCUACUUAUCUGUCACAUGCUUGAAUUAAAACCUUUUCAAAGCAUGAACGAAAUUAGCGACGAAACUGUAUUUAUAUUUAGCAUUUUAGUAAAGAUUUUCGUUCUAAAUUAUUCUAAAUACUCGCCAUCUCGAUGAAAUAUUUCAAAUUAAAAUAUUAUCCUUAAUUAAUUUUAUAAAUCACAACAUGAACUGUUUUUAGUAAAUCGAUAAAUUUAGAUUUACGCUUCAUGUACAAUAAGGGUUCCAUGUGACCGACAAGAUAUGAAAUUUAUUCGCUGAAGAUAUUCGUAUGCAAGGAUGUUUAAGUAAAUUUUGCAUAAAGAGCUUUGUGCUUACAUAUGUCAAUUAACAUUGUCAUAACCCUAAAAUCUAAGAUGCUGUGAUGGGAUAGAAACAGACUACACAGAAUAUUUGUGGAAAAAUCAUGAAAAAUGGUCAUUUGUGUGACAGCAGACGUAAGAAGGUGACAUUGAAAUAGGUCUCAGGGUCAUAGGUUUCGAGGGUGGAAGACGGGUGGAUUUUACUCAGGACCAUGGGCACUGCUGGACCAUUUGAUUCUGGUUAGAUGGUUAUGUGGUUAAAUAAUCUGUUAUGUAACUAGACAACUAGUUAGUUAAUUGCUGUAAUUCCAUAACAAUCAAGUAAUUAUUUUCUUUGUAAUAGGCCACGUUUGUUUAAAGACUAGAUAAUCACAAUUUAAAGAAUUUAUUUCAACAAUUUCGUGUUAAUUUGAAGAUUUUAUUUAAAAUUCCAAGUGCAUCAGUGUGCUUUAGAACUACGUUGAAACAUCGUCAUUUCUUCCUGGAAAAUGACACUUUAUGGACUGAGAUCGAGUUCUUGAUUUUAUUUAUAUAUAAAUCGUAAUUUUCCAAGCAGACAAAUGUUAAUUCCACUCAGGUGUCUAUUUGACUACUUUAGGGCAAUGAAGUAAUAUCAAAUAAAACGUUAGACACAAGUAUCUCAGCAGCUUGGACUGUUUCAGACAAACGCUCCUUUGACCCGAUCGGGAAGUUUCCACGGCCUCUUCGAUGCAGCAGCCGUUCCGGGGCGGGCAGAAAGAGAUAUGGCGGCAUCAGAACAUAGUAUGCCAUGUUUUAUGUAUGAAGCAGACACCAGCAUUGCCGAGGGCUAUGGCGUCCAUGAGGAGGAGUCCCAGUCUUCAGAGGGCUGUUCAAGUACCCACAACAAAAGACAUGUUACAAACAGCUGAAUAAUACAUGGCUUAACUAUAAAUGGUAAUGAUGUCAUUCAAAUCUUUGCUAUCAUACUGUUUCGUAUUAGUAAGUUGUUGCUGUUACGUCAUAGGUGGUUCCAGUAAGGGUCUAGUUAAUAAAACAUUUCUCGGGUCCUGAAUAAUAUAAAUGUGUAUAUCAUGAACAUGGAAUAAAUGUGUUUCAAAACCUAA